UUUUUUUAUUUUUUUUUUACCUUUGAGACAAACUAAAAAUUUAUGAUUCUAUUAAAUGAUAAAUUUUUAGGAUUUAUUUGAUAGUUGAUUUAUUUAAUUAUAUUUAUAUAUACUUAUUUGAAGUUGCUUUUAUAUUUAUUUUAAGUUAUAGAAGUAAUAAAGUACUCGUUCAAAGCCAUAGAGUUAUGAAUUUAUGCAUUUUUUAAAAAAUAAAAUAAAACACAAUUUACGUAAACGUAAG
rnacentral:lncRNA from 1 species